rnacentral:lncRNA from 10 species
GGAAAGGGCCUCUGGGCUGAGGUCAGCAGCUCUGCUGAGCAACUGAGGCAGAGAUAUCCUGGGAACUCCACACAAAUCCAACGACAGCAGGAGGAACUGAGCCAGAGGUGGGGGCAGCUGGAGGCCCUGAAGAGGGAGAAGGCCGUGCAGCUGGCACACAGUGUGGAAGUGUGCAGUUUUCUGCAGGAGUGUGGACCCACACAGGUCCAGCUGCGAGACGUGCUCCUCCAGCUGGAGGCCCUGCAGCCAGGGAGCUCAGAGGACACCUGCCACGCCCUGCAGCUGGCCCAGAAGAAGACCCUGGUGCUGGAGAGGAGGGUCCACUUCCUCCAAAGUGUGGUCGUAAAGGUCGAGGAGCCAGGCUACGCAGAGAGCCAGCCUCUGCAAGGACAGGUGGAGACACUGCAGGGGCUGCUGAAGCAAGUACAGGAACAAGUGGCCCAACGGGCCCGGCGCCAGGCUGAGACUCAGGCCCGGCAGAGCUUCCUGCAAGAGAGCCAGCAACUGCUACUGUGGGCAGAGAGUGUCCAGGCUCAGCUGCGCAGCAAGGAGGUGUCAGUGGAUGUGGCCUCGGCUCAGCGGCUGCUGAGGGAGCACCAAGACCUGCUGGAGGAGAUCCACCUGUGGCAGGAGAGGGAUGACGUUAUGGGCUGGCAGGCAGGCAAGGCCACCAGGGACAGUCCACAGGCUGUGCCCCUCCUGAAGGCACUUGACA